rnacentral:rRNA from 1 species
GUUUGGCGAAUAAAGAUUUAUCGGCGAUGGAUGAGGAUGCGACUGAUUAGCUGGUUGGCGGGGUAACGGCCCACCAAGGCGACGAUCAGUAGGGGUUCUGAGAGGAAGGUCCCCCACAUUGGAACUGAGACACGGUCCAAACUCCUACGGGAGGCAGCAGUGAGGAAUAUUGGUCAAUGGACGAGAGUCUGAACCAGCCAAGUAGCGUGAAGGAUGACGGCCCUAUGGGUUGUAAACUUCUUUUGUUUGGGAAUAAAGUGCUCUACGUGUAGAGUUUUGUAUGUACCUUACGAAUAAGCAUCGGCUAAUUCCGUGCCAGCAGCCGCGGUAAUACGGAAGAUGCGAGCGUUAUCCGGAUUUAUUGGGUUUAAAGGGAGCGUAGGCGGACCUUUAAGUCAGCGGUAAAAUGUCAAUGCCCAACAUUGGCCCGCCGUUGAUACUGUUGGUCUUGAAUACACACAAGGAAGGUGGAAUUCGUUGUGUAGCGGUGAAAUGCUUAGAUAUGACGAAGAACUCCGAUUGCGAAGGCAGCCUUCUGGGGUGCGAUUGACGCUGAGGCUCGAAAGUGCGGGUAUCAAAC